rnacentral:rRNA from 1 species
AGAGUUUGAUCCUGGCUCAGGACGAACGCUGGCGGCGUGCUUAACACAUGCAAGUCGAACGAUGAUGCCCAGCUUGCUGGGUGGAUUAGUGGCGAACGGGUGAGUAACACGUGAGUAACCUGCCCCUGACUCUGGGAUAAGCGUUGGAAACGACGUCUAAUACUGGAUAUGAUCACUGGCCGCAUGGUCUGGUGGUGGAAAGAUUUUUUGGUUGGGGAUGGACUCGCGGCCUAUCAGCUUGUUGGUGAGGUAAUGGCUCACCAAGGCGACGACGGGUAGCCGGCCUGAGAGGGUGACCGGCCACACUGGGACUGAGACACGGCCCAGACUCCUACGGGAGGCAGCAGUGGGGAAUAUUGCACAAUGGGCGAAAGCCUGAUGCAGCAACGCCGCGUGAGGGAUGACGGCCUUCGGGUUGUAAACCUCUUUUAGUAGGGAAGAAGCGAAAGUGACGGUACCUGCAGAAAAAGCACCGGCUAACUACGUGCCAGCAGCCGCGGUAAUACGUAGGGUGCAAGCGUUGUCCGGAAUUAUUGGGCGUAAAGAGCUCGUAGGCGGUUUGUCGCGUCUGCUGUGAAAUCCCGAGGCUCAACCUCGGGCUUGCAGUGGGUACGGGCAGACUAGAGUGCGGUAGGGGAGAUUGGAAUUCCUGGUGUAGCGGUGGAAUGCGCAGAUAUCACGAGGAACACCGAUGGCGAAGGCAGAUCUCUGGGCCGUAACUGACGCUGAGGAGCGAAAGCAUGGGGAGCGAACAGGAUUAGAUACCCUGGUAGUCCAUGCCGUAAACGUUGGGCGCUAGAUGUAGGGACCUUUCCACGGUUUCUGUGUCGUAGCUAACGCAUUAAGCGCCCCGCCUGGGGAGUACGGCCGCAAGGCUAAAACUCAAAGGAAUUGACGGGGGCCCGCACAAGCGGCGGAGCAUGCGGAUUAAUUCGAUGCAACGCGAAGAACCUUACCAAGGCUUGACAUACACCGGAAACGGCCAGAGAUGGUCACCCCCUUGUGGUCGGUGUACAGGUGGUGCAUGGUUGUCGUCAGCUCGUGUCGUGAGAUGUUGGGUUAAGUCCCGCAACGAGCGCAACCCUCGUUCUAUGUUGCCAGCGGGUUAUGCCGGGGACUCAUAGGAGACUGCCGGGGUCAACUCGGAGGAAGGUGGGGAUGACGUCAAAUCAUCAUGCCCCUUAUGUCUUGGGCUUCACGCAUGCUACAAUGGCCGGUACAAAGGGCUGCGAUACCGUAAGGUGGAGCGAAUCCCAAAAAGCCGGUCUCAGUUCGGAUUGAGGUCUGCAACUCGACCUCAUGAAGUCGGAGUCGCUAGUAAUCGCAGAUCAGCAACGCUGCGGUGAAUACGUUCCCGGGCCUUGUACACACCGCCCGUCAAGUCAUGAAAGUCGGUAACACCCGAAGCCGGUGGCCUAACCCUUGUGGAAGGAGCCGUCGAAGGUGGGAUCGGUGAUUAGGACUAAGUCGUAACAAGGUAGCCGUA